rnacentral:misc_RNA from 1 species
GAUGGUCAUGGGAAUGGGAGUACUAUUCAAAACCCCGUUUUCACUGCACUCAAGACCGUCACAACCUGCGACCUCUGUGCUAUCCAAAUUGUGAACACAGCUUAGACUUCAGCAUUCCCCGCUUCAAAACCACUCAGAUGUCUGGAACCCGAUAUCUAGACGCCAGAGAACUAUUCAAAUGGGGUAUGUUAGCUGGAGUCCGAGUCACAAGAUUUGAUUGUGAUAUGAUAAGAUUUUUGGGAAAUAAAGUCCUUUAAGAAGUCAGAAGACUAUUAUUACGCCAAAACCCAGUUAAUAUACAAAUCAUUUCAACACCUCUA